GAGCGGCGAACGGGUGAGUAACACGUGAGCAACCUGCCCCUGACUCUGGGAUAAGCCUGGGAAACCGGGUCUAAUACCGGAUAUGACCGUCUCCGGCAUCGGACGAUGGUGGAAAGAUUUUUUGGUCGGGGAUGGGCUCGCGGCCUAUCAGCUUGUUGGUGGGGUAGUGGCCUACCAAGGCGACGACGGGUAGCCGGCCUGAGAGGGCGACCGGCCACACUGGGACUGAGACACGGCCCAGACUCCUACGGGAGGCAGCAGUGGGGAAUAUUGCGCAAUGGGCGGAAGCCUGACGCAGCGACGCCGCGUGGGGGAUGACGGCCUUCGGGUUGUAAACCUCUUUCAGCAGGGACGAAGUUGACGUGUACCUGCAGAAGAAGCGCCGGCUAACUACGUGCCAGCAGCCGCGGUAAUACGUAGGGCGCAAGCGUUGUCCGGAAUUAUUGGGCGUAAAGAGCUCGUAGGUGGCUGGUCGCGUCUGCCGNGAAAGCCCGCAGCUUAACUGCGGGUCUGCGGGUGGAUACGGGCCGGCUAGAGGUAGGUAGGGGCAAGUGGAAUUCCU
rnacentral:rRNA from 1 species